GUCCUUUAUGGAAGUCCACCAUGAUGUUCUCCAUGGAGUUCUCCAUGGACGUCCUUUAUGGAAGUCCACCAUGAUGUUUUCCAUGAAGUUCUCCAUGGACGUCCUUUAUGGAAGUCCACCAUGAUGUUCUCCAUGAAGUUCUCCAUGGAGUUCUCCAUGGACGUCCUUUAUGGAAGUCCACCAUGAUGUUCUCCAUGGAGUUCUCCAUGGACGUCCUUUAUGGAAGUCCACCAUGAUGUUCUCCAUGGACGUCCUUUAUGGAAGUCCACCACCAUGUUCUCCAUGGACGUCCUUUAUGGAAGUCCACCACGAUAUUCUCCAUGGACGUCCUUUAUGGAAGUCCACCAUGAUGUUCUCCAUGAAGUUCUCCAUGGACGUUCUCCAUGAUGUUCUCCAUGGACGUCCUUUAUGGAAGUCCACCAUGAUGUUCUUCAUGGACUUCUCCAUGGACGUCCUUUAUGGAAGUCCACCAUGAUGUUCUCCAUG